UGUCUCUCUGUUCAGGUCAGUAAGGUGAGUCUGGUGGAUCUGGCGGGCAGUGAGCGAGCGGAUUCAUCCGGAGCCAAAGGCGUGAGAUUAAAGGAAGGUGCGAAUAUCAAUAAAUCUCUCACCACGCUGGGGAAAGUCAUCUCCGCUCUGGCUGAAAUGCAAAACAGCAAAAGAAGGAAAAGUGAGUUCAUCCCGUACAGAGACUCAGUGCUCACCUGGAUACUGAAGGAGAACCUGGGUAAGACGUACACACACACACACAGACA